rnacentral:lncRNA from 1 species
UAAAGAACAAAUUUGCAGAAGAAGAAUAACCCAAAGAAAAAGAAACAGAAAACAUGGGAUGAAGAAAACAGAAUGUGCAACCUUUUGGGAUUUUCUAUUUACAAAUUUAAAAUAAAAAAUAAAAAACAAAAACAAAUCUAAAAUAAAAUUACUCCCUCAAACACACACGAGGAUUCGAACUUAGAACCCAGAGAUAAACUAACACACAUCCAACCACCAAACCAGUAGGCUCAUUUUAACACUAAAACACCGAAAUAAACAAAACUUGUUGACCUAUUCACUAUCCCGAAC